AACCUCCGCAAUGUGAGAAAUCGCGACGGGGGGAUCCCAAGUGCCAUUCUUAACGGGAUGGCUUUUCAUUAGUGUAAAGAGCUUUUGGAAUAAGAGCUGGGCAAGACCGGUGCCAGCCGCCGCGGUAACACCGGCAGCUCUAGUGGUAGCAAUUUUUAUUGGGCCUAAAGCGUCCGUAGCCGGUUUAAUAAGUCUCUGGUGAAAUCCUGUAGCUUAACUGUGGGAAUUGCUGGAGAUACUAUUAGACUUGAGACCGGGAGAGGUUAGAGGUACUCCCAGGGUAGAGGUGAAAUUCUGUAAUCCUGGGAGGACCGCCUGUUGCGAAGGCGUCUAACUGGAACGGUUCUGACGGUGAGGGACGAAAGUUAGGGGCGCGAACCGGAUUAGAUACCCGGGUAGUCCUAACUGUAAACGAUGCGGACUUGGUGUUGGGUGGCUUUGAGCUGUCUCAGUGCCGAAGGGAAGCUGUUAAGUCCGCCGCCUGGGAAGUACGGUCGCAAGACUGAAACUUAAAGGAAGU
rnacentral:rRNA from 1 species